AUACUUACCUGGCAGGGGAGAUACCAGGGUCACGAAGGUGGUUUUCCCAGGGUGAGGCUUGUCCAUUGCACUCUGGAUGUGCUGACCCCUGUGAUUUCCCCAAAUGUGGGAAACUCAACUGCAUAACUUGUGGUAGUGGGGGACUGUGUUUGCGCUCUCCCCUG
rnacentral:snRNA from 1 species